rnacentral:rRNA from 1 species
GAUGAACGCUGGCGGCGUGCCUAAUACAUGCAAGUCGAGCGAACAGACGAGGAGCUUGCUCCUCUGACGUUAGCGGCGGACGGGUGAGUAACACGUGGAUAACCUACCUAUAAGACUGGGAUAACUUCGGGAAACCGGAGCUAAUACCGGAUAAUAUAUUGAACCGCAUGGUUCAAGAGUGAAAGACGGUUUUGCUGUCACUUAUAGAUGGAUCCGCGCCGCAUUAGCUAGUUGGUAAGGUAACGGCUUACCAAGGCAACGAUGCGUAGCCGACCUGAGAGGGUGAUCGGCCACACUGGAACUGAGACACGGUCCAGACUCCUACGGGAGGCAGCAGUAGGGAAUCUUCCGCAAUGGGCGAAAGCCUGACGGAGCAACGCCGCGUGAGUGAUGAAGGUCUUCGGAUCGUAAAACUCUGUUAUUAGGGAAGAACAAAUGUGUAAGUAACUAUGCACGUCUUGACGGUACCUAAUCAGAAAGCCACGGCUAACUACGUG